rnacentral:tRNA from 1 species
GGGGUUGUGGCUCAGCAGUAGAGUGCUCACCUCGCAUGCGUGAGGCCCUGGGUUCGAUUCUCAGCACCA